rnacentral:misc_RNA from 1 species
GAUGAGAACGUAGCGAAAUGCGAUACGUAAUGUGAAUUGCAGAAUUCAGUGAAUCAUCGAGUCUUUGAACGCACAUUGCGCCCCCUGGUAUUCCGGGGGGCAUGCCUGUCCGAGCGUCAUUGCUGCCCUCAAGCACGGCUUGUGUGUUGGGCCUCCGCCCCCCGGCUCCCGGGGGGCGGGCCCGAAAGGCAGCGGCGGCACCGCGUCCGGUCCUCGAGCGUAUGGGGCUUCGUCACCCGCUCCGUAGGCCCGGCCGGCGCCCGCCGGCGACCCCCCUCAAUCUUUCCAGGUUGACCUCGGAUCAGGUAGGGAUACCCGCUGAACUUAAGCAUAUCAAUAAGCGGAGGA